rnacentral:rRNA from 1 species
UUUCCGGUUGAUCCUGCCGGACCCCACUGCUAUCGGGAUAGGACUAAGACAUGCUAGUCGAGUGGCUCAGCCAAUACGAGCCACGGCAUACAGCUCAGUAACACGUGGCUAAUCUGCCCUUAGGACGAGAACAACCCCGGGAAACUGGGGCUAACUCUCGAUAGGCGAAGAACUCUGGAAUGAGUCUUCACCCAAAUAGUUCAGCGUUACGCUCGUUGGACCGCCUAAGGAUGAGGCCGCGACCGAUCAGGUUGUUAGUGAGGUAAUGGCUCACCAAGCCUUUUACCGGUGCGGGCCGUGAGAGCGGGAGCCCGGAGAUGGGCACUGAGACAAGGGCCCAGGCCCUACGGGGCGCAGCAGUCGCGAAAACUUUGCAAUACACGAAAGUGUGACAGGGCUAUCCCGAGUGCCAUCCGCUGAGGAAGGCUUUUACCCAGUCUAGAAAGCUGGGGGAAUAAGGAGAGGGCAAGUCUGGUGUCAGCCGCCGCGGUAAUACCAGCUCUCCGAGUGGUGUGGAUGUUUAUUGGGCCUAAAGCAUCCGUAGCUGGCUAAGUUAGUCCCUUGUUAAAUCCACCGAAUUAAUCGUUGGAUUGCGGGGGAUACUGCUUGGCUAGGGGACGAGAGAGGCAGACGGUAUUUCCGGGGUAGGGGUGAAAUCCUAUAAUCCCGGGAAGACCACCAGUGGCGAAGGCUGUCUGCUAGAACGCGCCCGACGGUGAGGGAUGAAAGCUGGGGGAGCGAACCGGAUUAGAUACCCGGGUAGUCCCAGCUGUAAACGAUGCAGGCUAGGUGUUUGGACGGCCACGUGCCGUUCUAGUGCCGCAGGGAAGCUGUUAAGCCUGCCGCCUGGGGAGUACGAUCGCAAGAUUGAAACUUAAAGGAAUUGGCGGGGGAGCACCACAAGGGGUGAAGCUUGCGGUUUAAUUGGAUUCAACGCCGGA